UACGUAGGGUGCAAGCGUUGUCCGGAAUUAUUGGGCGUAAAGAGCGUGUAGGCGGCCAGGUAGGUCUGCUGUGAAAACUCGAGGCUUAACCUCGAGCUGUCGGCGGAAACCAUCUGGCUAGAGUCCGGAAGAGGAGAAUGGUAUUCCCGGUGUAGCGGUGAAAUGCGCAGAUAUCGGGAAGAACACCCGUGGCGAAGGCGGUUCUCUGGGACGGUACUGACGCUGAGACGCGAAAGCGUGGGGAGCGAACAGG
rnacentral:rRNA from 1 species